rnacentral:misc_RNA from 1 species
CAACUCUCGUGGAUUCCGUCCCAGGUAUCAUGACCGUGCUGAUAGACUGGCCAAUGAGGCAUGUAAAAAAGAACAACUAAACAGCUGAUAGGAGAGUCAAAGUCCAGAGAGAAGGAAGCGCCGGCGGGCACUAUCAGUGACUCGGGCAGCCGACAGUCGACACACAGUAUUGUUGUGUGAACAGAAGUCUGAAUGAUCCUUGGUGUAACUGUUGUUUGAGGAAUAAAGCAGAGUUAAGAUGGUUAGCAUUCCGCAUAAAGUGCGUGUAUGCAUAGUAGGAGCCGGUGUAUCAGGACUUGGGGCAGCACAGAGGUUAAUUAAGUGUGGAAUAGUUGACCUGGUUAUUCUCGAAGCACAAGAUAGAGUUGGUGGUAGAGUUCACACUGUAGAAUAUGGGGAACAUCACCUAGAGAUGGGGGCUCAGUGGAUCCAUGGUGAAGAGGGCAAUGUAGUAUAUGACUUUGCCUCAGAGAAUGACCUGAUUGAUGAUGAACUAUCCUUAAUUCAAACAGGUACGGGAAACACGAUCUUUGUGAGGCAUAAUGGUGAAAUAGUGCCCGAGGAAGUGCAAGAAGAGUUCUCCCUGGUUACAGCUAACCUUUCUGAAAGUUCAGAAAAGGAUUUUCAUACUUACCCACAUUCUAGUGGACAGUACUUUACAGAAAAAUUCAAGACAGAGAACAAAUGGGGAACCCUUGGAGAAGAGCUCCUGAAUUGGUAUGGACGUUUUCAGAAUUGCAUUGAUGGCUCUGACAGUUGGUUUGAUAUAUCAGCAAAGGAACAGAACAAUUACAAGGAAUGUCCUGGAAAUAUUUCUGUCAACUGGAAACAAAAGGGAUACAAAAACUUACUUCUACAUUUACAGGAGACUGUACCAUCAUCUUGCUUGUUCCUAAAUUCCCCCGUCAAAUCCAUUGAUUGGGGGAUAUGUACCUCGGCCUCUACAUCUGGUUGUAAAGUUACCUUAACAUCGGAUCAGGUCAUUCAGGCUGACCAUAUCAUCUUCACCCCUUCUCUUGGCUUUCUGAAGGCUAUGGCAAAGGAGGUCUUUAAUCCUCCAUUACCUAGGACAAAAGUGGAUGCUAUUCAAGGCUUAGGCUUUGGUGUAGUGGAUAAGGUGUACAUAAAGUUUCCUCAUCGAUGGUGGGAUGAAAGUUGUGAUGGCUUCAGCUUCUUACACGACCUUAAAGAAGUACCAGAUAGCAUAACUAAAGAGAAUUGGGAGUAUGGAGUACUGGGUUUUUAUGAGGUCUUCAAGCAUCCAGAUAUGAUGUGUGGUUGGCUGACUGGUCCUGCAGCUUUAAUGAUGGAACAAACUCCCAAGGAAGAGGUAGCAAAGCGUUGUGCAGCCAUGUUACGAGAACGUCUGUCACACAAGUUUAAAGUGCCAGAUGUGAUUUGGUGCACAAGCUCUUCAUGGGGAUCAAAUCCAUGGAUCAAAGGAUCAUAUAGUUUAUGCACCAUGAAGACAGAAGCUAUGGGUGUCAAGGCUGCUGACUUGGCUGAACCUCUAAUUGAUUCAAAUAAUGUUCCACUUGUUUGCUUUGCUGGAGAAGCAACCCAUGAUUGCUAUUAUUCUACUGUCCAUGGUGCUCUGGAAACUGGUUGGAGAGAAGCUGACAGACUUGUAAAAUACUUAAAAAGUGUGCCAGAUUCUACAGAGGCUCAGCACAUUGAAGCACGUGAAAAAUAUGAUGUCAUCAUUAUUGGUGCUGGAGCUGCAGGUAUUGGGGCAGCAAGAGAGCUUACUUCACAAGGUGUCACCUCCAUUCUUAUUCUUGAAGGAAAUGACCGUAUUGGUGGGCGUGUGAACACCAUUAAAACAGCACGAGGUUUUGUAGAUUUAGGUGCUCAGUGGAUUCAUGGAGAAGAUGGUAAUGCCAUUUUUCAGUUUGCAAAUUCCAGGAACCUUCUUGAUGACAAGUUGUCUGUGGAUGGUAGAGGUGUUUUCGUCAUGGAGAAUGGAAGACAAAUAAAGGAAAACAUCAUACAAGAAGUUCUUGAAAUAAUGGAGGAAGCAGAUGAUGACUGCAAGGAAUACAAUCAUUCAAAGAAAUUGAAAGGGGUUGAUCAGAUAUCAGUUGGAGAUGUUUACCGAAAUUUUUUUUUUACUUACUUAAAAGCCUGUGAUAAAGAUUCCCUGAUUGUGAGAAGAAUAAAGUUGGCUUUAUAUUAUUGGACCUUAAGAUGGCAAAGAAUUGAUAAUGCCUGUGAUUCUCUUCAUCAAUUGUCAGCCAGCUGUUGGGGGAACUAUGUAUUCUGUAGUGGAAAAGAAAACAUGAACCCCAAGGCUGGGUUUCUGUCCAUCUUAGAAGCUAUUCUGGCAGAUACAAGAACAAAUUUAAAACUAAGAAGUGAAGUUGAUAGCAUUGACUAUGCAAGUGAAGUUAUGGCUGAAAGUGGUGGUUAUUUUCGACCAGAUGGCACAACUUACCCUGUGAUCAUCAAGUGCAAAGAUGGGAGUGAAUUUGAAGCUCAGCAUGUCAUAGUGACCCCUUCUAUAGGAUACUUGAAGAGUCACUCCAGCCUCUUCUCCCCUGCUCUUCCAACAAAGCUUCAAAAAGCAAUAACCUCUAUGGGAUAUGGCACCAUUGACAAAAUCUACCUAGAGUAUGAAAAUUGCUGGUGGCCUAGUCAUUGGGAAGGAGUACAACUAGUAUGGACCAAAGAUAUUCCAGAUUUUGAAUGUGAAGCUCCAAAUACAUUGCGCAUUGAUGGUAGCUCUGAGCAGAUGAAUCAGUACUGGGUCCGGGCAAUCUCAGGAUUUGAUCCAGUGUUCAACCAAACAUCAAUGCUUUGUGGUUGGAUUGGUGGACCUGAAGCAGAGUACAUGGAAGGGUUGAGUGCUGAUGAAGUGGGCCAGGCAUGUACUAAACUCCUCAAACUUUUCCUGGGCUGGAAACAUAUCCCUUAUCCCAAGAAGAUUUAUAGAUUCCAGUUUUGGUGUUAGCAGGAGAAGCCAACAGCCGAGCCUAUUACUCCACAGUUCAUGGUGCACUGCAAAGUGGAAUAGCACAAACAACACAUUAUGUCAACUCUCGAAAGGGGUCACUUGGCAGUCAUGUCACAAUCAAGAGCAAAUUGUGAUUCAGCAGACUGUUGUCUAGUUUAGGUGUUUUGUCCUUUGUGGUUUUUUUUAGAACACUUGUUCUCAGGACGGGGGUGGCGAUGGUCACCGGGGUUGUAUGCAGGGCAGGAUUAAGCUUAAUAGGGGCCUGAGGCACAGAUCAACUUGGGGCCCCCUACUCUC